GACUAGUUCGGAGGACGUGUGUAGCGGUGAAAUGCGUAGAGAUGUGGAGGAAUACCGAUGGCGAAGGCAGCCCCCUGGGAUGACACUGACGCUCAUGCACGAAAGCGUGGGGAGCAAACAGGAUUAGAUAGCCUGGUAGUCCACGCCCUUAACGAUGUCAACUAGCUGUUGGGGGUUUGAAUCCUUGGUAGCGUAGCUAACGCGUGAAGUUGACCGCCUGGGGAGUACGGCCGCAAGGUUAAAACUCAAAGGAAUUGACGGGGACCCGCACAAGCGGUGGAUGAUGUGGAUUAAUUCGAUGCAACGCGAAAAACCUUACCUGCUCUUGACAAGUAACGAACGUGU
rnacentral:rRNA from 1 species